rnacentral:rRNA from 1 species
GACGAACGCUGGCGGCGUGCCUAGUACAUGCAAGUCGAACGAGAGCGACCGGUGCUUGCACUGGUCAAUCUAGUGGCGAACGGGUGAGUAACACGUGGGUAACCUGCCCAUCAGAGGGGGAUAACAUCCGGAAACGGAUGCUAAAACCGCAUAGGUCUUCGAACCGCAUGGUUUGAAGAGGAAAAGAGGCGCAAGCUUCUGCUGAUGGAUGGACCCGCGGUGCAUUAGCUAGUUGGUGAGGUAACGGCUCACCAAGGCCGUGAUGCAUAGCCGACCUGAGAGGGUGAUCGGCCACAUUGGGACUGAGACACGGCCCAAACUCCUACGGGAGGCAGCAGUAGGGAAUCUUCCGCAAUGGACGCAAGUCUGACGGAGCAACGCCGCGUGAGUGAAGAAGGUUUUCGGAUCGUAAAACUCUGUUGUUAGAGAAGAACAAGUGCUAGAGUAACUGUUAGCGCCUUGACGGUAUCUAACCAGAAAGCCACGGCUAACUACGUG